GUCCACGCCCUAAACGAUGUCUACUAGUUGUUGGGGUAGCAAUACCUCAGUGACGCAGCUAACGCGUGAAGUAGACCGCCUGGGGAGUACGGUCGCAAGAUUAAAACUCAAAGGAAUUGACGGGGCCCGCACAAGCGGUGGAUUAUGUGGAUUAAUUCGAUGCAACGCGAAAACCUUAACCUGGCCUUGACAUGCCACUAACGAAGCAGAGAUGCAUUAGGUGCCCGAAAGGGAAAGUGGACACAGGUGCUGCAUGGCUGUCGU
rnacentral:rRNA from 1 species